rnacentral:rRNA from 1 species
AUGAAGAAUAACGUAGAUCGAAUCGCCCGUCCCUCGCCAGAGUCGGGCAUAACUUGUUGUAGUAAACAGUCAGGACGUCAUCGUGCUAAGGCCCAUAGGACCAACACAGUAGAACAACAACCAUCGCCGAUAAAGAAUAACAUAGAUCGAAUCGCACCUCCCUCACUGGAGUCGGACACAACUUAUUUAGACAGUCGGGAAGUCAUCGUGCUAAGGCCCAUAGGACCAGCUGUAACGCCCUCGAUGCGGCUAUAUCUCCUACGUGUCGAAGCACGACUUAGAGGCAUAACCACAUUGAAAGCAAUGUCACAAGUAAGGUAA